rnacentral:rRNA from 1 species
GCGCGAAACCUUUACACUGCACGCCAGUGCGAUAAGGGGACUCCAAGUGCGAGGGCAUAUCGUCCUCGCUAUUCUGUACCGUAGGGUGGUACAGGACCAAGGGCUGGGCAAGACCGGUGCCAGCCGCCGCGGUAAUACCGGCAGCCCAAGUGAUGGCCACUCUUAUUGGGCCUAAAGCGUCCGUAGCCGGCCUCGCAAGUCCGUCGGGAAAUCCAGUAGCCCAACUACUGGGCGUCCGGCGGAAACUACAAGGCUUGGGACCGGAAGGCUCGAGGGGUACGUCCGGGGUAGGAGUGAAAUCCCGUAAUCCCGAACGGACCACCGAUGGCGAAAGCACCUCGAGAAGACGGCUCC